rnacentral:rRNA from 1 species
GUUGUAUGGUUAAGUGACUAAGCGUACACGGUGGAUGCCUUGGCAAUCAGAGGCGAAGAAGGACGUGCUAAUCUGCGAAAAGCUUGGAUGAGUCGAUAAGAGGCGUUUAAUCCAAGAUAUCCGAAUGGGGAAACCCAGUAGAUGAAGAAUCUACUAUCGUUAUUUGAAUACAUAGAAUAACGAGGCAAACCGGGAGAACUGAAACAUCUAAGUACCCCGAGGAAAAGAAAUCAACCGAGAUUCCGUGAGUAGCGGCGAGCGAAAGUGGAAGAGCCAGUGAGUAAUAGCAGUAAAAUUAAGAGAAUGAGCUGGGAAGCUCAACCGUAGGGGGUGAUAGUCCCGUAUCUGAAAAUUUUAUUGUGGUACUAAGCUAACAACAAGUAGGGCGGGACACGUGAUAUCCUGUUUGAAGAUGGGGGGACCAUCCUCCAAGGCUAAAUACUCCUGAUUGACCGAUAGUGAACCAGUACUGUGAAGGAAAGGCGAAAAGAACCCCAGUGAGGGGAGUGAAAUAGAACCUGAAACCGUGUACGUACAAGCAGUGGGAGCUCCGUCACUUAAUGAUUUUCAAUCAUUAAGUGACUUCGCAGGAGUCAGAUAACAGACGGCAGAUGGCAGUAGGAAUAGAACUGUAAUCUGAAACCUGUCAUCUGACACCUGAAACGGAGUCACUUAAUGGCGAAAGCCAUUAAGUGACGGAGUGACUGCGUACCUUUUGUAUAAUGGGUCAGCGACUUAUAUUUUGUAGCAAGGUUAACUUAAAUCAGGUAGCCGAAGGGAAACCGAGUCUUAACUGGGCGGUGAGUUGCAAGGUAUAGACCCGAAACCCGGUGAUCUAGCCAUGGGCAGGUUGAAGGUUGGGUAACACUAACUGGAGGACCGAACCGACUAAUGUUGAAAAAUUAGCGGAUGACUUGUGGCUGGGGGUGA